UAUCCAAUUUUCAAUUAUCGUGUUCUUUACGUUUUAAUGCUUAGUUUACAGUAGACUUUUUUUGGGUUUUAAUAGUAAAAUAAUAGUCGCAACUAACACAGCAACUACAGCAAAAAACAGCAACAAAAAACAAUAAACAAGCACAAUUAAAGAACUUAGUGUGGGUUUAAUGUGGGUGUUGUUCAACCAUUCAAUAAAGGCUGGGAGUAUUUUAGUCGUGAGUGUAUACAAACUGUGAAUCCGAGGAUUCAAGGUUCGAGGACUUUAGUCGUAAAAAAGCACUCCUCACUUUAGGGCUGUGGACGCACUACAAGAGUGACGGGUAAACUACCACUAUUUUCCAGGCAAAACUAUCUAAGAGUUGGCGGUUGGUGCUGCUGGCUAGUUGCGUUCCCUCUAGUCUAUAAAUCCGAAACUAGGAAGCCAGCCAGAAAUCCGAAAGUAGGGAGCUAACCAUAAAUCUGAAACUAGGGAGUCAGCCAUAAACUCGAAGACAGGGAGCCAGCUGUAAACACGAAACUACGGAGCCAGUCAGCCAUAAACUCGAAAAAAGGGAGCCAGCCAUUUGCUCACGACGCUCUUGCGUAGCUUUGCGUAAAAACUAAAAUAGAAGCAAAGAAUCUAUUCAAAAGCUAAAACUCACCGUUUCUGAGUACGGUUGCAGAGUUGUUUUUUUUAAAACUAAUUAAGAUGCUUAACUCAGAAAAAAGGAAAGUAAAAAUAACAAAUGUAAUUUGAAAUCUUUAUUGUUAGACCACAAGUAUAUAUAUAUAUAUACAUAUAUAUUAAACGCCCAUGCUUAUAUCCAAGAUAAGAGGCAUCAUCACGAAAAUAUUAUAUGUUAAGCCUGAUAUAUGCCCAUUUUAUGUUUAUAAUUAUUCUGCAUAAUCACAUGUCUUUCACUUCACAAAAUACCUAAGAAAAUAACACGCUUACUAAGUGAAAGUAUAGGGUGCGCAGACCAAUGGAAGGCUCUAUAAAUCCCACUCUCAUAUUCUCCUAUACAAGCUUUAUAUAAUAUACUUUGCAUAAUUGCUAUUAAACUCGUUAUAAUAGUUGAUUUGUAGUUCUCCUCCGGCCUUCCAGUCGGCGCACACAACUAGUCUGCUACACAGAUACAUAACACGCAUUAACAUGCUAGAGUAUUGUAGCUGUCUGUAUUAUAUUAACAUGUUAGGGUUAUGUGGCUGUCUGUAUUAUCUGUUGAAACUAGGCGCGAAAGUGAAAAUGCCAUUAUAUAUAUAUAUAUAUACACAGACGGAGACAAAAACGUGCACCACUCACAAUGCUCGACUCAAAGUGGAUUCGGAUAGGAUAGUUACUCACCUUCAAAGCAGACGGCAAUCAAGUGGAUCUCCAAAUGACCGUUAUUAAGGGUAAAGCAAGCAACUCAGUACCCCUACACGUCUAGUAAUUUUCAAAUUACGAAAGCUGUCAAUUCCCUUUCCCCCCCUGUCUAUAGAUGUAAUUUCAUGAAAUUAUGUUAAUUAUUUCGAUCGGCUACAAUAAGUAGCAGCAUCCAAUGAGAGAAAUCAAGUCGCCAAUUUUCCAAAUUGUUACCCGUUUAAAUACCUUUAUAUAUCUAGGGACUCCAAAGAGAACAGACAGAAGGUUGUGGUACUCUGUUAUGCCUAGACCGAAAUCACGCGAAUCGUAGUUUUGUUUGAAGUGUGGCGAAAAAGGUUGCGAACGUAAACAGGACAUAAGAAGGCAACCAGCAGCGAGAGUUAAAGAAUUGAAGUUAUAAAGAGUUUAGACGAUGGUAAUAUUGUCUACCUGACGCUAGGUGUUCCGUAAAGCUCGGGAAGACCAAUCACGAAAGAAAAAGAUGAAACAAAAACAAAUUAACUCAGCGGAUAAAUUUGAGGACUUAUAACGUCAAAAACUGAGAUUCAAUCCCUGUGGUGAACACAAUAUAAAUAGGCCACUUUUACACUUCUGUAUUAUUGAAAUUACCGAACGAGGAACACAUAAAGUUUUGUAUGAAUACAAAUUUUGGACAACCAGUUUCUUCUGUAUGGUACAUUAGUUAUC